GACGAACGCUGGCGGCGUGCUUAACACAUGCAAGUCGAACGGAAAGGCCCUGCUUUUGUGGGGUGCUCGAGUGGCGAACGGGUGAGUAACACGUGAGUAACCUGCCCUUGACUUUGGGAUAACUUCAGGAAACUGGGGCUAAUACCGGAUAGGAUCUCCUGCUGCAUGGUGGGGGUUGGAAAGUUUCGGCGGUUGGGGAUGGACUCGCGGCUUAUCAGCUUGUUGGUGGGGUAGUGGCUUACCAAGGCUUUGACGGGUAGCCGGCCUGAGAGGGUGACCGGGCACAUUGGGACUGAGAUACGGCCCAGACUCCUACGGGAGGCAGCAGUGGGGAAUAUGGCACAAUGGGCGGAAGCCUGAUGCAGCAACGCCGCGUGCGGGAUGACGGCCUUCGGGUUGUAAACCGCUUUCGCCUGUGACGAAGCGUGAGUGACGGUAAUGGGUAAAGAAGCACCGGCUAACUACGUG
rnacentral:rRNA from 1 species